GCGGAAGGAUCAUUAUUGAGACAUGAAUCGUAGCAUUGAGAACUGUUGCUGACCUGUUAAAGGGUAUGUGCACGUUGUGAGUGUUGCGUUUUAUUCUUUUUUCCCUGUGCACGUUUGUAGACUUGGUUGUUGAGUGGUUAGAAGGGUUGCUGAAAAGCUCUCUUUGCUUAGGAUUUCGCUCUUGAAGGGUUGCUGCAAAGCUCCCUUUGCCUAGGAUUUCACUAAGCUUGUCAGGUCUAUGUCUAUAAUCUCUUGUAUGUAUAGAAUGUGUUGUUUAUAGGACGCAAGUCCUUUAAAUGUUAUACAACUUUCAACAACGGAUCUCUUGGCUCUCGCAUCGAUGAAGAACGCAGCGAAAUGCGAUAACUAAUGUGAAUUGCAGAAUUCAGUGAAUCAUCGAGUCUUUGAACGCACCUUGCGCCCUUUGGUAUUCCAAAGGGCAUGCCUGUUUGAGUGUCAUUAAAUUCUCAAGCCUUUGCAUUUGUGCUAAGGAUUGGAUAUGGGGGUUGCUGGUCUCUAACGAGAUCAGCUCCUCUGAAAUGCAUUAGCAGAAACCGUUUGACGUUGAGUGCUAGGCUGUGAUAAUAUCUACAGCUUGGUAGUCGUGUCAGAAUACAAGUCAAGGAUCGGUUCGGAGGGUGCUUAACGGCUCCUUCUGCUUUCUCUCUUUGCGGGGAGAUAGUUGUCCGAUUUUUGUUACUUGUAGAAGGAUUCAGCUUCUAACGGUCCAUUGAGUUGGACAAUUUAUUGACUAUUUGACCUCAAAUCAGGUAGGACUACCCGCUGAACUUAAGCAUAUCAUAAA
rnacentral:rRNA from 1 species